UAAUGGUACAUGCACUUUUACAAGUUGAUUGUACUGAAAUGUGUGUUAGCAGUGCCUGUACACAACCAUCAUAAAAUGAUAAAAAUCCAUCCAGUGUUUUUUUUUUAAUCUCCUUAUUUGUUUUACCCUGUCUCAAAUCAAGCCGUUCCGGACGCCCCUCCCACGAUGGUUGAUUGACAGCAGUGUUUCAACACAGACCCGCCCUUGCUCGUGAGCGAGCUGUCAAUCAUAGUCCGCGCGUCAUUGUUGAUAUACGCUGGAGCUGUCUAUGAGCAGAAUGGCGUCUAAGCGAUUGUGGUGUUCUGUUCUCGGGUGCAAUAAUGAACACAGCAGUCAUUUUGAUGUUCCUAAGUCCGAACCGCUGAAGACACAGUGGCUGAGUUUUGCUUUUGAAGGGAAUAUUCCCCACGAGCAACGUCAAUGUUUUCAUGUUUGCGGGAAUCAUUUUUCACCAGACUGCUUUAUAAAUGAAGGUCAGUAUAAAGCUGGUUUUGCUAAGAAGCUGCUCCUGAAAAAAGAAUCGGUACCAACUAUUCGUGUUCCUGCUGAACCUCCAGAAGAAGGAUUUGAGAGGAACAGAGACACAUCGACUGGGCACACUCCUCAGGAAGCUGGAGACGAGGGGAACCAGGACAUUCACUAAGGAGGAACAGAAAAAGUAACUCACACAAUUUGAAGGAGCCAAAAGCUGAAGAUGCACGGAGAGGUUAAGCAGGCAUCAGCACCGAGGGCCCAUCUGCUGGGCCCCUGUGGACGGGGUGCCGACAGGAACCAGGUCUAAGCAAGCAAUAACUGGCUGAUCCAUGCCAGGACGUGCCACCCUGUCCUGCCACUGCCACUGCCUAAAGUCAUCAGUUCCGCCAAGUACAAGAGAGGAGGAGAGGGGCAAGGACAAAUCAUGAGUGGAAUAAGAAAAUAAAGUAGCCGAGGUCUGCCACGGCAUGCUGUGCUUCCCAAAGCGGAGAGGAAGCGACAUGGACAGCUUGAUUGACCUUGUAGUGCAUUUCCUCGGCUGCUCUCCUGGCAGCGGUACAGAAGCGCGUCCCCUCCAUCGCCACUCCUGGUCAUGCAUGCGGGACGUUUGCAGCAGCCUGUAAUGGAUUAGAAGAACCAGUGGUGAGUCAUAACUGGAUGUCAUGGAUCUUAGAUUUUGACCGCAGCUCAUUAGAACACAUGUUGUGCCGGUUUCGAAAGGACAAGAGACCCAUAAUGCUUAGUGGUGACAAAGGAACAAGAUGGAAUCUCCUUUAUUGUGUCGUUAACGGAAGAUGACUGGAGAGAAUUGUUGGUAAUGUCCUCUGGGAGGAAAGCAAAGAGUCUAAUAAUCUACAAUGAAAGGAAUUUUUGUCAAUGACCUCUAGGAAUCACACACACACACACACACACACACACACACACACACAAGUCAGUUGUAAGACUAGAAGAGGAAAGCUUGUCAAGACAAACUUUGAAUGUUGGCUCAACAACUUUUGUCUGGAAAACAAUGGCUAGAUUGAGAAAGCAGUACAUCCUUUACAUUUUUUUUUUUUUUUUUUAUCAUCUCACUAUACUUUUUUUUUCUUGGA